UACAGAGGGUGCGAGCGUUAAUCAGAAUUACUGGGCGUAAAGGGCGCGUAGGCGGUUAUAUAAGUUAGAUGUGAAAUCCCUGGGCUUAACCUAGGAACUGCAUCUAAUACUGUAUAGCUAGAGUGCAGUAGAGGGUAGUGGAAUUUCCGGUGUAGCGGUGAAAUGCGUAGAUAUCGGAAGGAACACUAGUGGCGAAGGCGGCUACCUGGACUGACACUGACGCUGAGGCGACGAAAGCGUGGGGAGCAAACAGG
rnacentral:rRNA from 1 species